UCCCUGGUGGCUCAGAUGGUAACAGCAUCUGCCUGUAAUGCGGGAGACCCAGGUUUGAUCCCUGGGUUGGGAA
rfam:TPA: Bos taurus chromosome 3, whole genome shotgun sequence.